rnacentral:piRNA from 1 species
UCUUCUCCAGAAUUAAUCAAU